AUAAACUAAAAGGAGUAAUCUUUAAGGUAAAAGCUUAAAAAUGACCUGUUUAAAAAUAUAGGCUCGGCCUGUUUAAGGCAAAGCCUGACCUGACCUGACAUGUUUCCACCUCUACCUACAAGUCAUUAACUUAUUUUUUCGGAGAAGAAUCAAUGAUGGUAUCCAGGGAAUAACAAUUGUCUAACUCUGUGCCAUCAGCCGCAGUAAGACAGAUGAUACAAGCGUUAUCCAAAAUGAUUGGGCGUAAAAUGUCUGUUGGUGGCUUUUUAAGUUUGCUGUCAAGUCCCAGGGCUCAUCCCUGGACAAGUGGUGGAAACUACCAAGCUGGAGUAGGGUAGGGGCAAACGGAAUUUCCGGUGGAGCGGUGAAAUGUGUAGAGAUCGGAAAGAGCGGCAAUGUUGCUUUGUAACCAAUUCCAUUAGGAACUGCGUAUUUUCCAGUCCAUCAUAUUCAUG